AAGGCUUUAGCUUAAUAAAAGCGCAUGCUUUGCACGUAUGUGAUGUGAGUUAGUGUCUUGCAGGCCUUA
rnacentral:tRNA from 1 species